UUUAAAAUUGUGUGGUCGACUAUGGUGAU
rnacentral:piRNA from 1 species